UAUAGAUAUAUAUAUUUAUUUAUUUAUUUAUUUAUUUAUACUGUGUUUUGAUCAUACAAACAUGAUGGCUAACAAUUGGUAUCAGAGCCAUUGUUUGGAUGGUUAAAAUCGUUAAGAUUGAUAUCAUAUGUGAUUUUCGAAUGAAAAGCAUGCAGCAUAAAAUUCUUAACAUGCAUAAAAGAUAUACCUAAUUCGCAGAUGAGAUCUUGCAUAGUUCAUGUCAAAUUUAAACUGUUCUGCUUAAUUGUUAGUACUUCGGUAAAUAUAAAGUUAAAGAUGAUCAGUGUCUACAUAAUUCAAUUAAUCAUAUAUUCAAGCUGCAACCGUUUAUCAUGAAAGAUUGAAUCAUGUAUUUAAGGUAGCUGUUCAUAAAAUUGCAUUCAAUAUAUGAUAUAGAGACUGUUCAUCUUACUCACAAGUGUUGAUCGUUGUUUUCUGGAUCAUACGUGAAUGGUAUGGCAUGAUUUAUGUGACACAUCAGUUGUGGGGUUCUCAUCUUGCUCACAAGUGUUGGGAAUCGGCAUGAAGGAAACUGGUGUAGCGCAUAAGUCAGUGUCAAAAGACAUAUUGAUUCAUCUUGCUUACAAGUGUUGAAUCAAUUUCGGUUUUAUAAAGUUUUGGGAUUGUUUUAAUCAAUGCAUGCAUGUUGUAUGUAUAUUCAGUGAUGAAUGCUGUGAACAUUGUUCAAACCUUAAGUGGAACAAACUACAAAAAAUGGAAACAAGACCUUGAGAUCUGUCUAGGGCUAAUGAAUUUAGACAUAGCAACAAGAGAGAAUUCUCCUCCAGAACCUGUUUCUGAUGCUGCAGUUGAUGUUAAAGAAAAAUAUGAAAGAUGACAGAAGGCUAAUCGAAUUGCUCUCUUGGUGAUUAAAAGAUCUAUGUCUGACACAGUGAGAGGUGGCAUUCCUGAAUCCGAGAAUGCCAAGGAGUUCUUAGCAUCUAUUGGCGAGAAGUUCAAAGAAUUACAUAAGGCAGAAACUGGUAAUCUCAUGAAUGAACUUAUGACCAAAAGGUAUAAUGGUAUAGGUUGUGUGAGGGAACAUAUAUUAGAAUUGCUAGAUAUUGGUGCUAAAUUGAAUGCCCUCAAAGUCCCUAUGAGUGAUCCUUUCUUUGUUCAUGUGGCACUUAACUCACUACCAAAUGAGUACUCACAAUUAAAGAGCACAUACAAUGCACAAAAGGAGAAGUGGAGCCUCAAUGAACUAAUUGCAAUUUGCGUGCAUGAGGAGUAACACAUAAGGCAGGAAGUUUUUGAGAAAAAGGUGAACAUGGUAACUGAUCACCAUAACAACACUGCAAAACAGGAGCACAACAAAGUAGCAUCGUAUCAUUCCAAAAUUGGUGCAAACAAAGGGUCCAAAGCUGUUAAGGGAAAAUGUUUCUUCUGCAAGAAACCUGGACAUAUGAAGAGACAUUGCCAAAAAUACAAAAAGUGGCUUAACAGUGGUAAAGGAAAAGGGCUACACAAGCAAAAGAGUGCCAAGAAGGGAUGAAGUCUCAAUGAUCGUUAGGAAUGGAGGAAGAGCUGCUGUUGAGUUUAUUGGAAUAGUUAGAAUAAAAUUAGAGUCUGAUUUUACAUUAGACCUUGAGAAUGUGUGCUAUGUACCUUCAAUUCGAAGGAAUUUAGAGUCAGUUAGUCAGCUAGUUAUGAAACAUUUUGUAUUUUCAAUUAAUAACAGUGGUUUUUCAAUUCA